UUGGCUCAAUGGUAGAGCGUUCAACUCAAAUAUCAAAGGUCACGGGUUCGAAUCCCAAA
rnacentral:tRNA from 1 species